GUUUUCCCGUUGGGACGCUCUCUCUGUCCUCCACCUGCUCCCCUGCCGAGCCUGGAGGCUCUCCUCUGGAAGGUCAACUCCCAGUUCCCAGGAGGGCCGCUCCCUCCCUGAACGUCCCCAAUCCGGUGUACACGUGCUUCAUGGCACACGCCGCAUGGUCCUGUGACUGCAAAUUCCUGACGGCAGGAAGGAAGAAGGGAAAAGGGAGCCAGUGGUUUGUCCCCUCAGCUGACUGCCACUUACCUCUGGCUGCCCAGACCCCACGGCUGCCCCUCUGCAGGGAAGACUUAGGAAGUGAGAAGUUCAGCCUUCUGGCUUCUACAGCAGAAGGCAGGCGAGGGAAAAUUCUUCAAGGCGGAGGAAUUUCUCAUUCUAAGGGCAGAUGGAUGGAUUCACGGAUGAGUGGUCUCCCAAAGGUUGACCAAAUGUGUAUGCUCAACAGCAGCGUGUGGAUGCAGCCUCUUACCCACCAUCUUCACUAAUACUGAGCAUUUAGCCACCUGUUAAAUGUUUUUCAAUAUGAUGGAUGAAAACUGAUAUUCUGUGCCUUAGUUUGCAAUUCUUUGUUUCUCAGUACAGAUGAGUAUAUUUUCUUAUGCUACCAACUGCUUGUUUUGGUCAGCAUUUUUUGGUUACCAGGCACAAUAAAGCCAUUUGAACUAGCUUAAGUAUAAAAAACAUGGAAGAAAGUGCAUUUUGUAAGGACACAGAACAACUUUACAAACAAAUCACUGCCUUGCCUUGUUAGACACGGAUCAGCAUCCAUCCCUACUCCUGGAAGUCACUCCCUUCAUGGCUUACUCUCUGCAG
rnacentral:lncRNA from 1 species